rnacentral:misc_RNA from 1 species
GAUGAAGAACGUAGCGAAAUGCGAUAAGUAAUGUGAAUUGCAGAAUUCAGUGAAUCAUCGAAUCUUUGAACGCACAUUGCGCCCGCUAGUAUUCUGGCGGGCAUGCCUGUCCGAGCGUCAUUUCAACCCUCAAGCCCCCGGGCUUGGUGUUGGGGAUCGGCGAGCCUCCGCGCCCGCCGUCCCCUAAAUCUAGUGGCGGUCUCGCUGUAACUUCCUCUGCGUAGUAGCACACCUCGCACUGGGAAACAGCGCGGCCACGCCGUUAAACCCCCAACUUCUGAACGUUUGACCUCGGAUCAGGUAGGAAUACCCGCUGAACUUAAGCAUAUCAAUAAGCGGAGGA